rnacentral:rRNA from 1 species
GACGAACGCUGGCGGCGUGCCUAAUACAUGCAAGUCGAGCGAAUGACGAGAAGCUUGCUUCUCUGAUUUAGCGGCGGACGGGUGAGUAACACGUGGGCAACCUGCCCUACAGAUUGGGAUAACUCAGGGAAACCUGGGCUAAUACGGGAUAAUCCUUCGAAUCACAUGUUUUGAAGUUGAAAGGCGCUUCGGCGUCACUGUAGGAUGGGCCCGCGGUGCAUUAGCUAGUUGGUGGGGUAACGGCCUACCAAGGCAACGAUGCAUAGCCGACCUGAGAGGGUGAUCGGCCACAUUGGGACUGAGACACGGCCCAAACUCCUACGGGAGGCAGCAGUAGGGAAUCUUCCACAAUGGACGAAAGUCUGAUGGAGCAACGCCGCGUGAGUGAUGAAGGUUUUCGGAUCGUAAAACUCUGUUGUAAGGGAAGAACAAGUACGUUAGGAAAUGAACGUACCUUGACGGUACCUUAUUAGAAAGCCACGGCUAACUACGUGCCAGCAGCCGCUGUAA